AUUGAACGCUGGCGGCAGGCCUAACACAUGCAAGUCGAGCGAGCGGCGGACGGGUGAGUAAUGUCUGGGAAACUGCCUGAUGGAGGGGGAUACCUCCUGGAAACGGUAGCUAAUACCGCAUAGCAUCAGCUGUGCCCAGAUGGGAUUAGCUAGUAGGUGGGGUAAUGGCUCACCUAGGCGACGAUCCCUAGCUGGUCUGAGAGGAGGACCAGCCACACUGGAACUGAGACACGGUCCAGACUCCUACGGGAGGAAGCAGUGGGUAAUAUUGCACAAUGGGAUCAAGCCUGAUGCAGACAUGCCGCGUGCGUGAAGAAGGCCUUGGGGUUGUAAAGCACUUUCAGCGGGGAGUCGUUACCCGCAGAAGAAGCACCGGCUAACUCCGUGCCAGCAGCCGCGGUAAUUC
rnacentral:rRNA from 1 species